UCUUACUAAUUAACAUUCUCACAAAUCCCAGUGCUCCAUCUUCAUUUAAGCAAAUGUUUAAUUUAAACAUUUGCUUAAAUGAAGAUGGAGCACUGGGAUUUGUGAGAAUGUUAAUUAGUAAG